rnacentral:rRNA from 1 species
AGAGUUUGAUCAUGGCUCAGGAUGAACGCUAGCUACAGGCUUAACACAUGCAAGUCGAGGGGAAACGACAUCGAAAGCUUGCUUUUGAUGGGCGUCGACCGGCGCACGGGUGAGUAACGCGUAUCCAACCUGCCCAUCACUUGGGGAUAACCUUGCGAAAGUAAGACUAAUACCCAAUGACGUCUCUAGAAGACAUCUGAAAGAGAUUAAAAGAUUUAUCGGUGAUGGGUGGGGAUGCGUCUGAUUAGCUUGUUGGCGGGGUAACGCCACAAGGCGACGAUCAGUAGGGGUUCUGAGAGGAAGGUCCCCCANAUUGGAACUGAGACACGGUCCAAACUCCUACGGGAGCA